rnacentral:rRNA from 1 species
UACAGAGGUCUCAAGCGUUGUUCGGAUUCAUUGGGCGUAAAGGGUGCGUAGGCGGCGCGGUAAGUCGGGUGUGAAAUCUCGGAGCUUAACUCCGAAACUGCAUUCGAUACUGCCCGUGCUUGAGGACUGGAGAGGAGACUGGAAUUUACGGUGUAGCGGUGAAAUGCGUAGAUAUCGUAAGGAAGACCAGUGGCGAAGGCGGGGUCUCUGGACAGUUCCCUGA